UAGAGGAAGUAAAAGUCGUAACAAGGUUUCCGUAGGUGAACCUGCGGAAGGAUCAUUAAAAGUAUAUAGUUAUACAUUCUGUGUAUCGACUAAAUAUACCCAUUCUGAGUACCUUGCCUGUUGCUUCCAUGGAGCCUGACACAUGUCACUCUGGGGAUUUACAUCCCGAGGGAGCCUCCGUGGAAGGUAAUCAAUUAACUCUUGAAUCCAAUGUCAUCUGUCUGAUAAUGUUUAUAACAAAUGUUAAAACUUUCAACAACGGAUCUCUUGGUUCUCGCAUCGAUGAAGAACGCAGCGAAAUGCGAUAAGUAGUGUGAAUUGCAGAAUUCAGUGAAUCAUCGAAUCUUUGAACGCACAUUGCGCCUCCUGGUAUUCCGGGAGGCAUGCCUGUUCGAGCGUCAUUAAAUACCACUCAAGCUCUUCUGCUUGGUCAUGGAAGAAGAGAAUGCUUGCAUCCUCUCUUCUGAAAUCGAACGGCGGACUGCCUCAUGUGCCUCGCGUAGUAAGUUCAUCUUUUCGCUUGGAGUGUGAGAUAGUCUCGCCAUCAACCCCCAUACUUCUAAGGUUGACCUCGGAUCAGGUAGGGAUACCCGCUGAACUUAAGCAUAUCA
rnacentral:rRNA from 1 species